rnacentral:rRNA from 1 species
GCAGUGACGGUUAACGGGGGAUUAGGGUUCGAUUCCGGAGAGGGAGCCUGAGAAACGGCUACCACAUCUAAGGAAGGCAGCAGGCGCGCAAAUUACCCAAUUCUAACAGCAUGAGAGAGGUAGUGACAAGAAAUAACAAUACAAGGCAGUUAAAAUGCUUUGUAAUUGGAAUGAUAGAAAUUUAAACACUUUUUAAAGUAUCAAUUGGAGGGCAAGUCUGGUGCCAGCAGCCGCGGUAAUUCCAGCUCCAAUAGCGUAUAUUAAAAUUGUUGCAGUUAAAAAGCUCGUAGUUGAAUUUCUGUUAAAAAUAACCGGUCUGCUUUUAAUAAAAGUGGUAUCUUGGUGUGUUUUUAGCAAUAAUGUCCUUUGAAAUGUUUUUUACUUUAUUGUAAUAGAUUAUAUUCAGGAUUUUUACUUUGAGAAAAUUAGAGUGUUUCUAGCAGGCUAACGCUUUGAAUACUGCAGCAUGGAAUAAUAAAAUAGGAUUUUGGUUCUACAUUAUUGGUUUUAAGAACUAAAUUAAUGAUUGAUAGG